UGUAAUAUUAGUUCAUGAGUUAGCUUGUUUACUGUAAUAUUAGUUCAUGACUUGUUUACUGUAAUGAUAGUUUGAGUUAGCUUGUCUACUGUAAUAUUAGUUCAUGAGUUAGCUUGUUUACUGUAAUAUUAGUUCAUGAGUUAACUUGUUUACUGUAAUGCUAGUUUGAGUUAGCUUGUCUACUGUAAUAUUAGUUCAUGAGUAAGCUUGUUUACUGUAAUGCUAGUUUGAGUUAGCUUGUUUACUGUAAUAUUAGUUCAUGAGUUAGCUUGUUUACUGUAAUGCUAGUUUGAGUUAGCUUGUUUACUGUAAUAUUAGUUCAGGAGUUAACUUGUUUACUCUAAUGCUAGUUUGUCAGUAUUAUGCCAGCUCUAUUGUGACACUAGUUUAUUGUUUAGCAUGUCUACUCCAAUGCUAGUAUUUCUCUUUUUAUUAUUAUAGGUUAUUUUUUAAAAUAAGCAAGUUUAAAUUUUUAUAUUUGUUUCAGUUGACCUUUUAAAAGUCAGUUUUAGUUAGUAAAUAGUCCUUUUCUAGCUGUAUUGUUUUUCCUCAGAAAGCUACAUUUAAUCAAGCUUUUAUGUAUAAUUUACGGUUAUAGUUGAAUAAUUUUAGCUUUGAGUACGAAAAGUCAUACAAAAAACAAAACAAAACAAAACAAAAAGACAGUAACAUUUUAAUUUUAGUAAAUCAUUCUAUUUCAGUUUUUUUUUGUGGUUUUAUUUUGUGCUAACUACAAUAACCUUGCUAACACCUCGCCUCAUGCUUCAUUUAUGACUCCCUAAAAAAAAACCAACAUUCACACGUUUAAUAUUUUUCAGCGACCUUUCUGAGUAGUUAUUGCGCUCUUAUUUAUCGCGGUCUCCACGGGGAUCGUGAGUCGUACGUCUCGUUUUAUAUUAAUGUGAACGAGGCCGUUUAGCUCGUUAAGCUUCUUAACGGCGUGAAACAGUCUCGUGUGUUUCACUCGAAUCUGUGCAUUUUUAAAUUCCCUCGAGCGCAGACAGAAAGGCUCGUAACGCAGAGACGUGUAUGUGUGUGUGUGUGUUCCUGCUGUGCGAGGUGUUUUGCGGUGUUUACACACGCCGUUCCCCGGCGACGCUCCCCAUUGAGUAUAACACAUAAAUAAGUUCAGUGAUCCAGGAAUACAAAC
ensembl:lncRNA